CAAUGCUUCCAUGUAUGUGCUAUGGGAAUUAAUAUUUCCAUUUUACAGAUGAGGAAAUUGAUGAUCAGAGAAUUGAAGUAAUUCAUCCCCAAUUAUACAGCUAGAAACUGAAUUUGAUUUUUGAGCUCCUGCUUCUGAGGAGAGAGACUAAUUCACAGAGCCUCCUAAAUAAGCUGAAUAAGUCAAUUAAAUGAACAAUUUGACAACAUUUUUUAAAUUAAGUAAACAUAUUCCUUGACAUUUUACCAAUGUUUAAAAUUUUAUAUAUCCUAGGGAGAGAGCCUGUCAUUUGACCAGAGCAUCUGCAAUGUGCCUCAAGUUACAUUAUUAACAUUGCUUUAUUUUGUUCCAAUUUAUAGUGGAAGAUUAUUUAUGAAACUCCCAUUUCAACAUUUUCCAUCUAUGCAUUUGUACUUUAAAACGAUUUCUAAUAUGCCCCACAUGGAGUUUUCUAUUUGCCCAGUUUCCUUGUCUGUGUUUUCUUAGUCCCUUGGAAAAUACUUAAGAGAAUUUCACUCAAUUUGCUUUGAUUGUCCAGAGAUGCUAAUUCGUUUUGCAGGUCUGUCAUCUUCAGCAGUGGAGAAAUUUCAAAACCGAGUUAAACGUAACUGCAUUUUGCCAGUGUUUCCCAUACUUUUUUGUCUCCUUGUAGAGAUGCGCUAGUUUUUAUAAAACCCGUGGAGCAGAUCCAUGAGAAAGAGACUGUGAGCUUAUAUAUUGCUGUGGGAACAACAUAGUUCCCGAUUCUCUAAAAGGGUUGCAUGUUCUCAAAUCACUUUUGGGAUGUGUGUGUGUAUGUGUGUGUGUGUGUGUGUGUGUUUGUGCAUGCGCAUGUUUGUGUGUCCCUGGGAAUCUCUUCCUUUAUGACUGUCACAUUCUUUAUAUUCAAAAGCAGGAUAUUCCGUUGCUGCAAAAAACACCCGCGUGCUGCUCCCAGAUUCUGACAUUUACAUCUCAUCAGUCAUCACAUCCACAUCUUUUCCCUCCCUUUAUGUGUUUCUAAGCAUUUAAUUAAAUCUUUCUACCUGUGUGGGGUUUACCAGCUAUGCUUCUUAGUACAGUAAAGUCAUAUGAUGUAGGGGGCGAAAAUAACAACGCUGACUUUGGGUCCAGGAUCCUAAUUUCAAAUUCUCCUAUGAUCAUUAUUAUUAUACAUGUGACUUUGGACAAGUCACUUCUGAUUCUCAGCUUCUUAUCUACAAAGUGAUUUGGAUUCUUUGGAUUCUCUGCAUUCACGGAUUUCUUUGCCUAGUCCCUUACACCCCCAAACUCUGUUCCACCUCUCAUUUUGUUUAUUGAUUUUCCCAUUAUAUUUUAAGCUCCUUAUAUAGGCAGGGACAUUUUUAUUUUUAUAGUUGCAUCUCCAGCACUUAGCACAAUGCCUGGCACAUGGGAGAUGCUUAAUAAUUAUUUAUCGACUAUUGAUUAUUGAAGUAUUGAAAUGUUUGCACUCUAUGGAUUCUGAAAUUUGAUCUAUGAUCUUAUGAUUAAAGUAAAAUUUUUGUUUGAAAAAUGGAUGCUGUGUUAUUAUGGUUUAUAAAGAAGAGAAUAUUUUCACAUCAUGUAAAACUGGCAUUUUCCCAUGUAUCACAGUUAAUUCUAAAAAAAUGUUCAGUGGGUGAACUUAGUAAGGAAAGUGAGGACAUCUUGCUGUUUGCACAGGACUUUUGCUGCAAUUCAAAAAAGGAGAAAAAAACCAAAACAUUUUCCAGUUCUUUAAUCUCCCAGUAUUCUAUUUAAGUCAUUGUCUUUGGUGAUGGUGGUGGUGGUGUUGGGAGGCAGAGAGAGCAAAAAAUAGAGAAUAUGAAGUCCAGCCUACCACUUUCCAGACUCACUGCACACUAAUCUUCAGAGCUUUCCCAGCCUCACUUUACCCAACAGUCAAAUGAAGGAAUUAGAUUAGAUGACUCAUUCAAGGUCUAAAUGUAUGAUUUUAUGAUGAAUUCUAUUCUUCACGUUUUCUACAUCCAAAAUGGGAUAGAGUCCAAAAUGUUCCUAAGUGGAAACAGUGACCUCAAGACUCCAAAUAUCAUGGUAGGUCUGAUUUGAAUCUUGGGACUAUCUGAUUUGGGAACUGGUAAAAGACAGCCAACUCCCCUAUCACCCAGUGAAGAAGGCUGAAUUUAGAGCAAGAGGAACUGGGAUCUGAUCUGAGCUUUGCUUCUCAUUACCUAUGUUACUUUGGACAAGUAAUUUCACUUUUCUAGAAUUGUUUUCUAUAAGGAAAUUGGAUGUUUGUGGGCUUUUUCAAAAUCUUUUUUAAAAAAUGGAAGACAAGACCAAUAACUAAGAGUUUCAAGAUGUUUGUGUAAAAAUGUUGGCAGUUGGAAAAUAUUUAUUAAUUAGUUGUCUUCUCUUAAAGUCAGUCAAUAAUAUUAAGUAUCUUUUAUAAGCCAGACACUGUGCUAAAUGAUGGGGGUGAAAAUAUGGAAAAAAGAAAUCCUGCUUUCAAAAAGCUUACAUUCUAAUAGGGGAAUAAACAUGUUCUC
rnacentral:lncRNA from 1 species